UUUCCCGUCAAAUUAAUGAACCCACGUUUGCUUUUUGGUUAGGCUGCCGGGGUGUGCGCCAGAUCAUGCCACCCCUCCAUCAUUCCUUUUUUGCUCUGUUUAGAUCUUCGCGGUUCUUUUAGGAGUAUGGAUAUAUUCCCCCCCACCCCUUGGAUUCUGAUUCUGAUGGUUUUGUUUGAGCCCCGAAAGAUGGUGGUUCGCAUGCGAGUGAAGGAGGAAAAGGAGAGCUGAAGAUAACCUCUUAGCCCUAAAGAAGAUGUAGCAGUACUUCCAGGUAGAGUUCGUUUUCUUGAAAACACUAGAGUUUGACAGAUGAUGAGGAUAAGAAUGGUAACUUUGGUUUCCCUGUGUAGUGGGUUGGAUAGCAUAUCAUAAAAAAAAUUGGUGAAUGAUGCUGUGUAUAGUAAGUAAUGUGAUGGGCUUUGAUUGAGCGUGGAAUAUGAUCUUUACUCGUUUGCAGAUCUCUAAAUAUCUGCAACAUCGUUUCCUGCAACGGUUCUGUAAAUCGGCGUUGCUCGAGAAUCUUGCCUGCUCUUAGUGUGCCGGGAGAGCACGUGCAAACCGCAGGAAACGCAGACUUAAAGUGACAAGACACGCGGACUUUCAUGAGAAGGAGAGACAGGGAGACAGGAUCCUGAAUAGCCU
rnacentral:lncRNA from 1 species